UUCCGUAGGUGAACCUGCGGAGGGAUCAUUACCGAGUUUACAACUCCCAAACCCCUGUGAACAUACCACUUGUUGCCUCGGCGGAUCAGCCCGCUCCCGGUAAAACGGGACGGCCCGCCAGAGGACCCCUAAACUCUGUUUCUAUAUGUAACUUCUGAGUAAAACCAUAAAUAAAUCAAAACUUUCAACAACGGAUCUCUUGGUUCUGGCAUCGAUGAAGAACGCAGCAAAAUGCGAUAAGUAAUGUGAAUUGCAGAAUUCAGUGAAUCAUCGAAUCUUUGAACGCACAUUGCGCCCGCCAGUAUUCUGGCGGGCAUGCCUGUUCGAGCGUCAUUUCAACCCUCAAGCACAGCUUGGUGUUGGGACUCGCGUUAAUUCGCGUUCCCCAAAUUGAUUGGCGGUCACGUCGAGCUUCCAUAGCGUAGUAGUAAAACCCUCGUUACUGGUAAUCGUCGCGGCCACGCCGUUAAACCCCAACUUCUGAAUGUGACCUCGGAUCAGGUAGGAAUACCCGCUGAACUUAAGCAUAUCAAUAAGCGGAGGAA
rnacentral:rRNA from 1 species